GGAUGUGAGGGCAAUCUGACAGUGACAUGUGUCACCCCAUUGAUUGCCAGGGUUGAUUCAGCUGAUUUGGCUGGCUAGGUGAAUGUCCCCUUCCUCUCUCAUCACUCCAUGUAUACCCCUCCCAAAGCUGCACAUUUGGUCAAAGAGGACCACCAUCCAUGAUAGAGGACUAUUCUUCGGUCAAGGGUAUAUGAGUAGCUGCACUCCUCUGCUAGAACCUCCAAACAAGCUCUCAAAAAGGCACUCUGGAGAAACUGAAGCAGGGAAAAACUGCCGUGAGAGUUUGUCCAGGAAAGAGUUGAUGCCUU
rnacentral:snRNA from 1 species